UACGUAGGUGGCAAGCGUCGUCCGGAUUUACUGGGCGUAAAGAGCGCGCAGGCGGUCGAUUUAGUCGCGUGUGAAAGCCCCCGGCUCAACUGGGGAGGGUCACGCGAUACUGAUCGACUCGAAGGCAGGAGAGGGUAGUGGAAUUCCCGGUGUAGUGGUGAAAUGCGUAGAUAUCGGGAGGAACACCAGUGGCGAAGGCGGUUCUCUGGGACGAUACUGACGCUGAGACGCGAAAGCGUGGGGAGCGAACAGG
rnacentral:rRNA from 1 species